rnacentral:lncRNA from 1 species
AAUAAGUCAAAUGUUAGCCAAUUAAGCAUUCUCAGAAGCAAUGAGAAAAACACCGACAGCCUUUCUGAAUGAGAAUUCCACUGGUAUCUGCCGGCCUGACUGUUUAAUACAUUUCAAGGUGGUUAAUGUUCUCUUGACGCAUGUGCGGAAGCGAGUAUUUUAAACCACUACGGAGCAAAUGCUGCAAGUUGGUUUGGGCAGAUAGUCAAAUAACUAAAAGGGAAAGGCCUGAUGGGCAGCUCCUCCCCAUGACCAAAGGAAGGAAGCAGUGCUGACGGGAGAAGGUACAUGGGCACAGAGCCCUGCAGGAUUUGCAGCCAGCGUGGGCAGCAGCGCCCUAGCACCAGUCACCCCCUCAACACUCAGCAUUUGCUCUGGGCCUUGGACAGUGCUGGGCAACAGUCAUACAGAGGUAAAACGUGGACAGAUAUGGACACACAUGACACCACAGAAGCUCCAGCCCCACCAGCACCUUUGCCAAUCCUGCCACAGGAAGCACCAGCCCACGUGCCCUGCCAGAGCAAUUCAGAUGUGUCUCAAGUACCUAAAUCUAUCUGCUCUGUGUCAUUCCAGGGCUUUGUUCCACUAAGGGAGAUGAGAAGGAACCUACCACUUAUUGAGCACCUACGAUGAGCCAGACACUGCACAUAUUACUUCAACCCUCCAAAAGUCUAGAAAGGUGAUUUAUCAUUUCCAUUGGACAUCUAGGGAGAUUAAGUUUCAAAGAGAUUCAGCAACUUGCUCAAAGAAAUUAAGGUGCACUGCUAAAAAUGAAGAAGCUGGAAUUUGAAUUGUCUGGGUCCUGUCUGACUCUGAAGCCAUGUUUUUCCAGCCAAGUGAGGCAAUGUGUCCAGCCUCCACCACAGCUGUAGGUGCAGGGUUUGUACAGAGACCAAAUGCACUACCCUGACUCAUUCUGGCCAUAAUCCCAGGUUUUACACAGAAGUCGUUGUCUUUCAGUGAUUCUCUGAAGUUUCCCAGGUUGGAAUCCUGUUUCCCCACUGUCUCAGUUGGUACUGGAGAUCUUCCCUAGAGAUGUUCCUUUCUCUUUUAUUUCCUUUCUGUCCCUAAGGGCCUGACUCAAGCUCCACACCUCAGGCUGUCUCCUGACUCCAUCCUCUCCUGCAAGGCUUUCACAUAACCAGUGGUUUGAUCAUCAAUACCUAGCUCUCCUACACUGCUCAGAUACUUUCCAAGACUCAUCAAGACUUACUGCAGAAGGCCAAAGUUGCUUAACAAAAAUUCAAGUCCCUCACCAGCCUGGCCUCAACUUCCAUUGAUAACCUGAUUUCCUGUGACUCCAUUUUAUGUAAACUCUGCUCCAGCCAGUCUGGGGACUCCACUGUUUUUCAAUAGGGACCACACCAAUCCUGCUUCUACACCUUUGCUCACGCUAGACCCUCUACUGUAGUGGGGCUGAAUUGUGUUUCUCAAAAAGUCUUGUGUUGAAGGUCUAACCACUGGUACCUCAGAAUAUGAUUCAGAAUAUGACUGUAUUUGAAGAUAUGGCCUUUAAAGUGGUAAUUAAGUUAAAGUGAGGUUAUUAAGGUGGGCCUUAAUUUAAUAUGACUGGUGCCUUUCCUUCUAAGAAGAGGAGAUUUGGAAAUAUAAUGUGAAGACAGAGAAAAGACAGCCAUCUACCAGCCCAGGAGAGAGGCCUAAGAAGAAACCAACCCUGCCAACACCUUGAUCUUGAACUUCCCACCUCCAAAAUUGUCAGAAAAUAAGUUAUUAAGCCACACAGUCUGUGGUAUUUUGUUAUGCAGCCCUCCACACUAAUACACCUACCUACAGUCUCUUCCUCUUUCUCCCCAAAUAACCUUCUCAGUCUUACUUCCAAAAUAAAUAUUUUUUCUACCUCCCCAAGCACUUGCUUAUCUUAAAGUCUUCAAGAGGCUUCUCAUCACUCUUAAAAUAAAAAAAAAAAAAUUAAAC